CCAAAGUGUGUGUUUGUCGGAGAUAUUGCCAUCAAAUACAACUGAUUCAGAGCUCAAUGAAGCUGAAGCGAUCGAAUUGCUUUCAGAAGAGAAAACAAACUAACUGGUACGAGUGUCGAUUAUACAUGUUCCAACGAGCCACAGCUAGCAGCACAAAGUAAAAGAAAUGAUGAUGUCUUUUCUCCGGAGCUUCUUUCGCAGACAACCUAUUUCUCUUGAAAACAUUGGAACCCUUUGCUUUGUCGAGGAAAUUGUUCAUUUAUCGAAAACAUUGCCGGCAAAUAAUGCGAGUGAAGAGUCCAGUCAGACUGAAGAGUGCGAAAUGUUUCCGGCAACUGAUAACAACACACUAACCUAUUCGUUGAUCAGAUGUCCUCAAAUACCACAUUAAAAACUAUGCCAACAAAACUUUCUGCAAGUGUUUCGCAACACUCUGAUGCAUUUAAAAACUUGGCUAUUCUAAGCAUCACUCCGACUUCUCUAACAAAUUUAACAGUUUCUGAGGAAGAUAACAGUGCCGAUUUUAAUAAUAGCGUAUGAGAUUGGGACGAUAUUGCGUUUAAUGUUUAUAAAUCUGUGCUUCCAUAACAAAAACAAAAUAAUGACGUUGACGAAAGAAAAGACACAGAGCUUCCGAUUCCAAAUUGUCGUACAAGCGAAGAUGCUAAUCGAUUGAUUAGCGAGGUCCCUAACAAGCCCGAUCUUUCUGAUAAGGAGAACGACAGUCGCAGCUCUGUCGUCUCUAAUAACUCCAGCAAUUUUUCGUACGUGCCUGAUUUUGAAAGUUCGAAUGGUAGCA